AGUUGAAAAAACAGUAGCAGAACAAGUUCAUCUUUAACGCACAUAGAUUCUGUUUCUUUCCAUUUUGAACAUCAAAGAUUUAAUGGCAAGAUAACAUCACAAACAAACAGGCAGCGGUAUUGCUAAAUCAAACAUGGAGUUCAAAUCGGAACAACAACCAUGGUUCCCUCAGAAGGAUGUAAAGCAUGAUCGAAACAUAAAAAUAAAGCUCGGAAAGGAAGCUAACCGGUUGCGGCGAGCUCGACAGGUGAAUGUAGACAAGCGUUACCUUCAAUUCUCUCUUUUCUUUUCUGAAUGGUAGUCGCCCCCCUCCAAAAACCUAGGGUUGUUGUGAAUAGUAAUCCCUCUUUUAUAUAUGACCCCUCUCUUUCCUCUGCUGUGUUUCCUGCUGUGUAGUGGAGAUCUGCUGUGUAGUGGAGAGGUUUGUUUCUACAGUAUCUGGGGAGUUUUGUCCUUAUUCCACUUGUGGUCCCUCUUCCUCAAUUCUCUCCAUUUCCAUUUCACUGUUGCAGUCCUGCUUGGAAAUUGAAUGAUGCUUUGGCAUGGUUUUCACAUGACUUUGGGUGCGAUUUGUUCGGAGGAAAAAUGUUGCGGCAUUGGCUUUUUACUGUGAAUCAAAUAUUUUGCUCAGUACUCCACAUUUCCAGGAAUCGAAUUGUAGAGCUUCCUGUAGAUAGUGUCAGACCCAGACGAAAGGUUAUGUGCCAUAAGAUUCAAUCCGUCCAUAUAAAACGCCCUGGAUGGAUAAUGAAGAACUCGGUUCGCUUUAUUAAAAAAAUUUAGCUCCAAAUGAAAUGGCUCACAAACUGGAAAGUCCUUUAGAUGAUGCUUGGUAUCUAAAACGGUAAUGAGGGGCAACCGUGAUAUUGGAGAGAUUCUCAUAUGACCCUCAAUGAAAUGACUGUAAAGAAAUGCCUUCCUUGCAAAUAAUCCUCCAAUGAGACACUCUGCUCAAUGCUACUGAUAGAAACGGCAUCAUCCUCCAAGUUCAGCAAAGCAAGGUUAAGGUGGGACUGGAUAUGUAAUGAAUUUCAUAGCAAAAUAAACAACAAAAAUUAGGCUGAGUCGGGGUUCUCUGGUUUAUCAGUCUCCAUUGGUUCACCACCAGAGGUUGUUGGGACUUGAUUACCAUUAUCCUCCGCAUUCUCAUUAGAAUGGACAUUAGCAUCCUCCUGAGGUUGCUGUUCUGGUUAUUGUCGUUGUUCGUAUAAACUAGCAAGAGCUUCGAUGGUCCGUUCUAGCACAAGGAAAGGCAAGCGAGGUUUGAAUUGUUUGAGUAACGUCUCUUCAACCACCAAAGGAUCUGACAGUUUGGUAGAUUCGGCCUUGUUAUCAUAUAUCAUAAGAGCUGAUGCUAUAGCUCCUAAAGUGUCGGCAAUUUGUGUAGGAGAAGAGCAUGACUCGAGGCUUUGACCGAGGCUAAAUAUGACAUAAAACAAACCACCGGAAAUAUUUUCUAAAGUGCACAUAGCAUUCAACCUUAAAGACGAAUCCAUAGACUUUGUCAAAUGGACAAGCUCUUUAAUGCCACCGCAUUGUAUGAAUGUUGACUUAUUUGGCGUAAAGUCCACUACUAUGUUGCUAGUAGCACCAAGGGCUGCAACCUGGACAGAAGUGCAAAGAUUAGAGAGAAGCCGUACUAAUGGAAUGACAAUCCUUUCACUCAUGGAAUAACCUGCACUCAAAUUAUUGAUUGAGCGUGAGACAGUUUUUUUAAGCAAAUGCAAGUUGCAGUCCGCACAUUGGCUUCAUCAUGGGUUAAGGCAUUAAUUAGUAUAUUUAAGACCUGCAAUGACAUAAACCUCGCCCUGCAGCAUUCCAGUUUUGAGCAAAGAUCGGCCAGUGCUAGAAAUAUCCCUUCAAGACGUUUGGGAUGUAAGUCACAAUUUUGCAAGUGAUUGUAGAAUUUGUCUAUAGCAUUUGCCUCAAAUGCUAACUUCUGCAUAUCUUCCUUUCCAGCAACUAAACUCGAAAAAGCAAAGGGAGCCUCUUCUCCAACUUGACCAGAAUCAUCAAGGAGCUCAAGCAAAAUAUAUAUCAAUUUGGUUUUGAUUGCUAUGUCUUGCAGAACGCGCGACGAAGAAUUCUUUAUACAGAUUAGGCACAAGCAGGCCAACAACCUUGUCCGAGAGUGUCGAUCCUUGGUUAAUUCAAUUACAGAACGCAACGCUCUUCCAUUUUGAAGUUCCGCAAACCUAGCGACGGCUCCUGGAUUCCUUUUUUAAGAAUUGUAGCUAUGGACUCUGAACUAGCAUCUUGCUGGCUUAUUGAACCAUCAAGACUGCUAAUAAGUUUCUCUAAAGAACCCGCAUCAGAUAAUAUAUUUUGUUCAUCCCUUGUCUGACAAGAAUGAAUAACAAUACCUGCACCAAGUCCCGUAAGAUUUUCAUUCUCUUUAGGUUUCACUGAAACCUGACUUGAAGGUGUUCCUUGAGAUUCAGGAAUUGUCAUAUGGCUUCCUGGUGAAGCUUCUGGAGAUAACUUGAAAUCCUGCCGAACAGUCUCGGUUUGUUCUGUAACUAGGUCAGAUACAUUUUUCUCAGGCUCAACAGCAGGCUCUUUGGAGUUCAAGUACUGCAAGAACUUGCAUCAGAAGAGCUGAAUAGUGAGCUUUCGCUGGAAGAAUCCACCAUAGUAUUCCUUCCCUGGUAGUUGAAUCUCCACUCUUCUGGAUAUGCAAGUUCCCUGCUAAAGGAAUCAUCAACAGUGUUCCCAUGAGAAUGCUUGACAUGCUUCUGAUGGAGAGAGGAAGAAUCAACACUUGUAGCCAUGGAAUUUGAUCGUGUCUUAGAAACAUCCAGAAUGGCUUCCAAGUUUCUCCUCUUAAACUUUCCAGUGGAAAAUACUGUAUUGCUACUUACUAAACCCAUGGGCUUCGGAGAAUGCCUUGCAUAAAGAAGCAUGUAUGCUCUUUCUGACAAGACUCUUGAUAAUUCAACAGGUUCUACCCUGCUGUCAUUAGUCCUGAACCAUUCUCCUUGGAUGUUUUUCACAUAACAAACAUAAUGUCCUGAAUAUGCAACAUUCAUGCUAUCCAAAUGGCCAACCACUUCAUAAAGACAAUAUAAUGGAGAUUUGUCUUUUAAUCCACUGAUAUAUGCAGCCAUAUUCAGGACUUCAGGAAAUUGAACAGACUUAUUCAACUUCUCAAAGUUACCGGACUGAAAUCGUUUUAAUACAAUCGUAAGAAUAUUCGGCGCCUCUAAUACUGUUAGCUUCUUCUUGGCUUUCUCAUAUGAUUUACAUCUGCCACAAUUAUACUUAUUAUCCUUAUUCAGGAUUUCAGGCGUUGUAAACUGUCCAAGAGACCAUCCAUACUCCACACCUUAAGAGUAUGAUCACUACUGCCACUAACAAAGAAGUCCCGCUUUUUUUUUUGAAAAUGCAAUGGCUCCAACAGCUCCCAUGUGACCUAUGCCAGCUCCAAUGCAACUUGUACUUUCUGAGUCCCAUAACCUAACAGUGUUAUCUUUACUUCCAGUCACAAUUAAGUUUCUCCUAGAAUUGUUCAAGAUUUGUAGCAAGAGCAAGGAACUUUUCAUCAUCCCCAACAAACUUCAUAUCUACGACCUCUUCAUUAUAUCCCACUAGUCUUUUGGUAAGAUUUAAUUGCAACAACUCUUCAAUCCAGUUCAGAAAGUAAAAUAUUGAAACUGCUGAUCUACAGUCACGCAAAGCAAUCCUUGAUUCGAGCCAAGCAUAACAGCAGAAGUGAAACCCCUACGUGAACCAUCCUCGUCUGUGUCAUGCUUCAGUAACAAUAAUCUCAUCAAUGCGUUGCGUUUCAGAUACAGUUAUGUUCUAAUUGUUUGUGUUGCUAGCGGACUUCUUCAUUGGCUGGGAAAUGUUGAGGGAUUUAUAUGAGGUCAUGGUAUUAACAUGAGGUUUGAAAAUCCAGGAGACUCAGCAAGCUCUUUAGAAUUGGUUUUGUUCAUGUUAGGACCAUUUAACUGAGUUUCAAUCUGAAGUAGUGAAGAAAUAUGCUCUGUCAAACCUGUUUUGUGACUGUGUUUUCCUGUUGAAGUUUGAAUGGUUUUUCUUUCAACCCUCUGUGUUGUAUCGCUAUCCUUUGGCGAACCACUUUUCUCAUGCAGUUCAUUGUUGCUUUCCACAUUGUCCCUCCAACAUUUAUUGCAGACUUCAGUAUGAAAGCAGUAGCUUGUUUAUAAUAAACACAACGGAGCCUGUCUUGGGUUGUUCAUAUUGCCGCAGCAAUUCUCAAGACAAAACAAUGCAAUGGUUGUAGUAUGGAAUCUCAGGAAGUGUUAGAUGCCAAAAUUUCAGCCUGAGUUCUGCAGUUGAUCAAUGUAACUCGCAGUGGUGAUAGUCGCAGAUCAAACUGUUUCACUUGGAUACUUUCGGAGGGAUCUUUUGUAUGGCCAACAAUUGACAGGAGCUUAUUUCCCCAUGCAAUAAACCAAAGAAUGGCUGGCACAAGGGUCCAAAGUUGUAGAGGGUUCGUCUCCAGUUUUAGCCUCGAGCUUUGACCAAGUCCAUAAUCUCAAAUCCAAAACUGUUGGAUAAGCGUUGUCCACAGUAAUUUUCCCAGAUUUUCCCUUCUUGUCCUGCUCCAAGUUCAGGCUCUGAAUCUCGAGUAGCAUUUGUAGCAUUUGGUACAGCAGAACCACUGUCUGGUAUGGAUUUUUUAUUUAUUUUGGAUUGCAAGGUGGAUUUGUGGCUUAGUUUAAGAACAUAUACUUCAUUGUUGUAACGUCCAUUGUAUCCUCCAAAAGAUACAAGUACAUCUUCUCCAUCAUUCGAACUUACAACCAAACUCAAACCCUCACUAGCAACAGAAACACGCCCUUGAACAAAUGUUACUGCUGACCAAGCCAGUGUAGACAUGUUCAGUACAACCAUCUCCGAAGAUGAGCAAGUAUCGCUCCACAUGUACAACAGCAGCAUGAUCAGACCUUGGGGAAGGAGGCACUCCAACGAUAUCAAUUUCGUCCCAAGUCAUGGUUUCCAAGUCCAGAAUAUGUAGGUCAUUUAAGAGAGCCCUUUUUGCAUCUUAGAAACUUCAUGUAUUCAUGUGAUGAGAUGUUUUUUUUUAUUAUAAGUUAUUCAUAUGCCAUGUACAUGGAUGAUUAUGAUUGAAUGAAUGAGCGAAGUAAUCAAACUAUGAAUGAGUAUGUGGAAAUUCUUGAAUAUGAAUGAAAAAGUUUCCAAUGUAAUGAAGAAAUAUGAAUGAAAAUUUUGAAUAUGAAAUGUAGAAUCUUGAAUGUGAAAUGGAGAAUAUAAAUGUGAAUGAAGAAAUAUGUAUGGAAUUUCUUUGAAUUAUGAAUGAAUGCGAAAAUGAAUAUG